rnacentral:rRNA from 1 species
CCUGCCCUUGGGAGGGGAACAACAGCUGGAAACGGCUGCUAAUACCCCAUAGGCUGAGGAGCAAAAGGAGGAAUCCGCCCAAGGAGGGGCUCGCGUCUGAUUAGUUAGUUGGUGAGGCAAUGGCUUACCAAGGCGACGAUCAGUAGCUGGUCCGAGAGGAUGAUCAGCCACACUGGGACUGAGACACGGCCCAGACUCCUACGGGAGGCAGCAGUGGGGAAUUUUCCGCAAUGGGCGAAAGCCUGACGGAGCAAUGCCGCGUGAAGGCAGAAGGCCCACGGGUCAUGAACUUCUUUUCUCGGAGAAGAAAAAAUGACGGUAUCUGAGGAAUAAGCAUCGGCUAACUCUGUGCCAGCAGCCGCGGUAAGACAGAGGAUGCAAGCGUUAUCCGGAAUGAUUGGGCGUAAAGCGUCUGUA